rnacentral:rRNA from 1 species
GACGAACGCUGGCGGCGUGCCUAAUACAUGCAAGUUGGGCGCUGAAGGUUGGUACUUGUACCAACUGGAUGAGCAGCGAACGGGCGAGUAACGCGUGGGGAAUCUGCCUUUGAGCGGGGGACAACAUUUGGAAACGAAUGCUAAUACCGCAUAAAAACUUUAAACACAAGUUUUAAGUUUGAAAGAUGCAAUUGCAUCACUCAAAGAUGAUCCCGCGUUGUAUUAGCUAGUUGGUGAGGUAAAGGCUCACCAAGGCGAUGAUACAUAGCCGACCUGAGAGGGUGAUCGGCCACAUUGGGACUGAGACACGGCCCAAACUCCUACGGGAGGCAGCAGUAGGGAAUCUUCGGCAAUGGACGAAAGUCUGACCGAGCAACGCCGCGUGAGUGAAGAAGGUUUUCGGAUCGUAAAACUCUGUUGGUAGAGAAGAACGUUGGUGAGAGUGGAAAGCUCAUCAAGUGACGGUAACUACCCAGAAAGGGACGGCUAACUACGUG